GGUCCCAAGGUUAUGGCUGUGCGCCAUUUAAAGUGGUACGCGAGCUGGGUUUAGAACGUCGUGAGACAGUUCGGUCCCUAUCUGGUGUGGGCGUUGGAUGAUUGAUGGGAGCUGCUCCUAGUACGAGAGGACCGGAGUGGACGUAUCUCUGGUGUUCCGGUUGUCACGCCAGUGGCACUGCCGGGUAGCUAUAUACGGACAGGAUAACCGCUGAAAGCAUCUAAGCGGGAAGCCUCCUUCAAGAUUAGAUUUCCCUGGACCUUUAAGGUCCCUGAAGUGCCCUCGAAGACUACGAGGUUGAUAGGCUGGGUGUGGAAGUUCAGUAAUGAAUGAAGCUAACCAGUACUAAUUGCAC
rnacentral:rRNA from 1 species